GGCCUAGUAGUUCAGUUGGUUAGAACGCCAGCCUGUCACGCUGGAGGUCGACGGUUCGAGCCCGUUCUAGGUCGCCA
rnacentral:tRNA from 2 species